GUGAGGAAUAUUGGUCAAUGGGCGGAAGCCUGAACCAGCCAUGCCGCGUGAAGGAUGAAGGUUCUAUGGAUUGUAAACUUCUUUUAUUUGGGAAUAAACCCUCCGACGUGUUGGAGGCUGAAGGUACCAAAUGAAUAAGCACCGGCUAACUCCGUGCCAGCAGCCGCGGUAAUACGGAGGGUGCAAGCGUUAUCCGGAAUCAUUGGGUUUAAAGGGUCCGCAGGCGGAUUUAUAAGUCAGUGGUGAAAGCCUACAGCUCAACUGUAGAACUGCCAUUGAUACUGUAAGUCUUGAAUUCGGUCGAAGUGGGCGGAAUAUGACAUGUAGCGGUGAAAUGCAUAGAUAUGUCAUAGAACACCGAUAGCGAAGGCAGCUCACUAGGCCUGAAUUGACGCUCAUGGACGAAAGCGUGGGGAGCAAACAGGAUUAGAAACCCCUGUAGUCC
rnacentral:rRNA from 1 species